GUAGGUGGCAAGCGUUGUCCGGAAUUAUUGGGCGUAAAGCGCGCGCAGGCGGUUCUUUAAGUCUGAUGUGAAAGCCCACGGCUCAACCGUGGAGGGUCAUUGGAAACUGGAGAACUUGAGUACAGAAGAGGAAAGCGGAAUUCCACGUGUAGCGGUGAAAUGCGUAGAGAUGUGGAGGAACACCAGUGGCGAAGGCGGCUUUCUGGUCUGUAACUGACGCUGAGGCGCGAAAGCGUGGGGAGCAAACAGGAUUAGAUACCCUGGUAGUCCACGCCGUAAACGAUGAGUGCUAAGUGUUAGGGGGGUCUUCCGCCCCUUAGUGCUGCAGCUAACGCAUUAAGCACUCCCGCCUGGGUAGUACGGCCGCAAGGCUG
rnacentral:rRNA from 1 species